rnacentral:rRNA from 1 species
UUAUGCUGGCUACACACGUGCUACAAUGGACAGAACAAAGGGCUUGAGACCGCAAGGUUUAGCCAAUCCCACAAAUCUGUUCUCAGUUCGGAUCGCAGUCUGCAACUCGACUGCGUGAAGCUGGAAUCGCUAGUAAUCGCGGAUCAGCAUGCCGCGGUGAAUACGUUCCCGGGCCUUGUACACACCGCCCGUCACACCACGAGAGUUUGCAACACCCGAAGUCGGUGAGGUAACCUUUAUGGAGCCAGCCGCCGAAGGUGGGCAGAUGAUUUGGGGG